rnacentral:rRNA from 1 species
UCCGCCGGGGGCUCUCGUUGCUCGGAAUUACUGGGCGUAAAGCGCACGUAGGCGGCUCGUUAAGUCGGGGGUGAAAUCCUGGAGCUCAACUCCAGAACUGCCUUCGAAACUGAUGAGCUCGAGUCCGGGAGAGGUGAGUGGAACUGCGAGUGUAGAGGUGAAAUUCGUAGAUAUUCGCAAGAACACCAGUGGCGAAGGCGGCUCACUGGCCCGGUACUGACGCUGAGGUGCGAAAGCGUGGGGAGCAAACAGG